GAUGAACGCUAGCUACAGGCUUAACACAUGCAAGUCGAGGGGCAGCAGGGAUUUAGCUUGCUAAAUCCGCUGGCGACCGGCGCACGGGUGCGUAACGCGUAUCCAACUUUCCCGUUACUCAGGGAUAGCCUUCCGAAAGGGAGAUUAAUACCUGAUGGUGUUUGAAGUUCGCAUGUUCUUCAAACUAAAGAUUUAUCGGUAACGGAUAGGGAUGCGUGACAUUAGAUAGUAGGCGGGGUAACGGCCCACCAAGUCGACGAUAGCUAGGGGAUCUGAGAGGACGGUCCCCCACACUGGUACUGAGACACGGACCAGACUCCUACGGGAGGCAGCAGUAAGGAAUAUUGGGCAAUGGAGGCAACUCUGACCCAGCCAUGCCGCGUGAAGGAUGGAGGCCCUACGGGUCGUAAACUUCUUUUGUCAGGGAAUAAAGUCGCCUACGUGUAGGCGUUUGCAGGUACCUGAAGAAUAAGCAUCGGCUAACUCCGUG
rnacentral:rRNA from 1 species